GUUCUUACCUGGCAGGGGAGAUACCAUAAUCUCGAAGGUAGUUUUCCCAGGGUGAGGCUUAUCCUUUGCACUGUGGAUAUGCUGACCCCUGCAAUUUCCCCAAACGUGGGAAACUCAACUGCAUGAUUUGUGGUAGUGGGGGACUGCAUUUCCGCUCUCCUCUG